GAUGAAGAACGUAGCGAAAUGCGAUACUUGGUGUGAAUUGCAGAAUCCCGUGAACCAUCGAGUCUUUGAACGCAAGUUGCGCCCGAAGCUAUUAGGCCGAGGGCACGCCUGCCUGGGCGUCACACGUCGUUGCCCCCCCAUCUACUCCUUCGGGAUUGCGGGGGGCGGAUGAUGGCCUCCCGUGCGCCUCGCCGCGCGGUUGGCAUAAAUGCCAAGUCCUCGGCGACGCACGCCACGACAAUCGGUGGUUGCGAAACCUCGGUUGCCCGUCGUGUGCGGUCGUCGCGCAUCGAGGGCUCGAAAAAAUUGCCGGGUUCCGGCUCGGCUUUCAACGCGACCCCAGGUCAGGCGGGGUUACCCGCUGAAUUUAAGCAUAUCAAUAAGCGGAGGA
rnacentral:misc_RNA from 1 species